GACGUCGAAUAUCGACGUCAUAAACACCAAAGUUGAUCGUGUUUAUGACGUCGAAUAUCGACGUCAUAAACACCGCAAAGUUGAUCGUGUUUAUGACGUCGAAUAUGGACGUCAUAAACAUCUAAGUUUAUCGUGUUUAUGACGUCGAAUAUCGACGUCAUAAACACCGCAAAGUUGAUCGUGUUUAUGACGUCGAAUAUGGACGUCAUAAACAUCUAAGUUUAUCGUGUUUAUGACGUCGAAUAUCGACGCC
rnacentral:miRNA from 1 species